CAAAGGAAACCGGUUGUUACAGAACAGAAGCGGAAAGCUCCUGGACCUCAACAAGAAGUGAGUGUGGAGACAAAGCUCUUGUCUAAUAUCCUAUUCUUGGACGUAGAAUUGAUGGUGUUU
rnacentral:sRNA from 1 species